rnacentral:rRNA from 1 species
AGCGAACGCUGGCGGCAGGCCUAACACAUGCAAGUCGAACGAACCCUUCGGGGUUAGUGGCGGACGGGUGAGUAACACGUGGGAACGUGCCUUUAGGUUCGGAAUAACUCAGGGAAACUUGUGCUAAUACCGAAUGUGCCCUUCGGGGGAAAGAUUUAUCGCCUUUAGAGCGGCCCGCGUCUGAUUAGCUAGUUGGUGAGGUAAUGGCUCACCAAGGCUACGAUCAGUAGCUGGUCUGAGAGGAUGACCAGACACAUUGGGACUGAGACACGGCCCAAACUCUUACGGGAGGCAGCAGUGGGGAAUCUUACGCAAUGGGCGAAAGCCUGACGCAGCCAUGCCGCGUGGAUGAUGAAGGUCUUAGGAUUGUAAAAUCCUUUCACCGGUGAAGAUAAUGACUGUAGCCGGAGAAGAAGCCCCGGCUAACUUCGUGCCAGCAGCCGCGGUAACAC